AAGCGCGCGUAGGCCGUUGAGUUAGUUAAUUGUGAAAUCCCAAAGCUUAACUUUGGAACUGCAAUUAAAACUGCUCGACUAGAGUUUGAUAGAGGAAAGCGGAAUACAUAGUGUAGAGGUGAAAUUCGUAGAUAUUAUGUAGAACACCAGUUGCGAAGGCGGCUUUCUGGAUCAACACUGACGCUGAGGCGCGAAAGUAUGGGUAGCAAAGAGGAUUAGAUACCCUCGUAGUCCAUACCAUAAACGAUGAUUGCUAGAUGUUGGAAAUUUAUUUUCAGUAUCGCAGCUAACGCAUUAAGCAAUCCGCCUGGGGAGUACGACCGCAAGGUUAAAACUCAAAUGAAUUGACGGGGACCCGCACAAGCGGUGGAGCAUGUGGUUUAAUUCGAAGAUACGCGCAGAACCUUACCAACCCUUGACAUGUCUGUCGCGAGUUUAGGAAACUAGACUUUUCGGUUCGGCCGGACAGAACACAGGUGCUGCAUGGCUGUCGUCAGCUCGUGUCGUGAGAUGUUGGGUUAAGUCCCGCAACGAGCGCAACCCCUACUUUUAGUUGCCAUCAGGUCAUGCUGGGCACUCUGAAAGAACUGCCAGUGAUAAGCUGGAGGAAGGUGGGGAUGACGUCAAGUCCUCAUGGCCCUUACGGGUUGGGCUACACACGUGCUACAAUGGUAGUGACAAAUGAGAUGCAAAGUGGCGACGCUAAGCUAA
rnacentral:rRNA from 1 species